GGAGCAGUUCGGUAGCUCGCUGGGCUCAUAACCCAGAGGUCGCAGGUUCAAAUCCUGUCCCCG
rnacentral:tRNA from 1 species